rnacentral:tRNA from 1 species
GCCCGGAUGGCGGAAUUGGCAGACGCAGGGGGCUUAAACCCCCCAGCCCCCUUCGGGGCGUGUGGGUUCAAGUCCCACUCCGGGCA